UACGGAAGGCAGCAGUGGGGAAUAUUGGACAAUGGGCGCAAGCCUGAUCCAGCCAUGCCGCGUGUGUGAAGAAGGCCUUUUUGGUUGUAAAGCACUUUAAGCGAGGAGGAGGCUCUCUUAGUUAAUACCUAAGAUGAGUGGACGUUACUCGCAGAAUAAGCACCGGCUAACUCUGUGCCAGCAGCCGCGGUAAUACAGAGGGUGCGAGCGUUAAUCGGAUUUUACUGGGCGUAAAGCGUGCGUAGGCGGCUUUUUUAAGUCGGAUGUGAAAUCCCCGAGCUUAACUUGGGAAUUGCAUUCGAUACUGGGAAGCUAGAGUAUGGGAGAGGAUGGUAGAAUUCCAGGUGUAGCGGUGAAAUGCGUAGAGAUCUGGAGGAAUACCGAUGGGCGAAGGCAGCCAUCUGGCCUAAUACUGACGCUGAGGUACGAAAGCAUGGGGAGCAAACAGGGAUUAGAUACC
rnacentral:rRNA from 1 species